rnacentral:rRNA from 1 species
CAGCCGCCGCGGGAAUACGAAGGGGGCUAGCGUUGCUCGGAAUGACUGGGCGUAAAGGGCGCAUAGGCGGUUUUGACAGUCAGAUGUGAAAUUCCUGGGCUUAACCUGGGGGCUGCAUUUGAGACGUCAAGACUAGAGUGUGAGAGAGGGUUGUGGAAUUCCCAAUGUAGAGGUGAAAUUCGUAGAUAUUGGGAAGAACACCGGUGGCGAAGGCGGCAACCUGGCUCAUUACUGACGCUGAGGCGCGAAAGCGUGGGGAGCAAACAGGAUUAGAUACCCGAGUAGUCCCUGUCUCUUAUAC